GACUCCGCCCCCGGCCCCCAGGUCACUCCUCUCGCCAAGUUUGUUUAUUCGCUUACCCCCGUCUUCCGGCCCCCAAGACCCGGCCGGUCCCCCCGCGAAUGUCUGUUCAACCGGCCGCCUGGCCGUCCGAAGGUUGUGCGUCCCUCUCCUCCUCUCGCCCCGCCCAGGUGGCGGGAAGCAGGAAGGCUGCUGGACCAGUGAGGAACACUGAAGGAGCCCCUGGGGGAGUUCUCGAAAGGGAACAGAGCCUGAGGAAUGCCUGGGUGGAGGGAGAAGCUGUCCUGCCGAUUGCCUGGAUGCAGGAGUUCUGUAUAGACCUGGCUUCUUAAAAUGCAGGGCUGGGCAAAGAUUGAACAGUCCCAUGGAACAAAACAAGACUAAUGGGGCGCACCAGCCCUGGGGCAGGGACUGGAAGGUAGGAGGGAACAGGACAGCUGGUAAUAGGGGACUCAGGAUUGAGAAGGGAGACUGUUGACAUGUUGUGGGGUUGUUAACCAGUGACAUAAAACAAUGUGUGUACUCUUUGAUGAGAAGUUGGUUUGUUCUGUAAACCUUCAUCUAAAGUUCAAUGAAAAAAAAAAAGAUUAAAAAAAAAUGCAAGGCAGGGAUUUGGAAUGUUUAGGUUCUGGCCCCUGCCUCUCCACCUUCCCCACUGGCUAGCCCCCAGAACUUCGCUGUGGCUCAGUGCCCCGUGUCUCUGCAGUGGGCAGAAUCUACUGUGUGCACUGUUAGGAAACAGAAUACUCUCAAGCCAACAGUGGAACACCAGGCAUGCCACCUCCACCUUGGCCUUGGCCUCCGGGAAGUCUCUGGACUACAUGGCUGCUCCCCACCCUGUUCCAGCCCAGCCUCCAGCUUGGACUGCACAGGGCCUGGUCUUGUCCUGUUCCUCAGCUGGUCUGAAGGUCCCUGAGGGCAAGGCCUGGCUUGCUUGUCUGUCUCUCCUAGGCUCGCCUAGGCCUGAGGCACGGCCCUGGGCAGGGGAGAGGUCAGUGCACAUGGGUCUUAGCAGCAGCUGCUGUGGAAACCCCUGGAGCCACAUUAAUAGACCUUGGCAUCCCACUUGGGCUCCAGCACCACCCCCCCCAGCCCCCCAGGAGACUGAGAGCCUGGGCAGGAAAGGUGACUGGCUUUUCUAGGUCUGGCCUGGGUGAGGUUGCUGUGCCCCUUGGCCGGGUGAUGGGAAUAUUUGAGGGCCUUCCUUGUCACACUUGGGAUGUUGAAUCAUAGAAGAGUGGAAACCCUGAAGGUCGGGUCAUAGGCUGUUACUUUGAAGGAUGUUGUCAUCAGAGACUUUUGGACUCAGAAGUUUCUAUCAGUGAAUGUUGGCAGAGUGGCUCCUGAGAACUGCAGACACAGAAGGGGACUUCAGAGUCAGCCCACCCCUCUCAGGGCCCUUCCCCAAUUACCAACCCUUAUCAUGUGGCAUUGUUAGGGCUGUGACUUGGGCAGGUCUCCACCAGCCUGGGCCUGCUCCUGGAGGGCCUGGGCCUUAUCUGGCUAAUGUUGAGUCCUCCAGGGCCUAGCAUUGUGCCAUAUCCACGGGAGCUCGAUAAAACACGGCUGAGCUGAACCAGAAGUAAAGACAUCACACCACUGGACACUUAUCACCAACCCAAAAGACAGCAAGAACAGAGCUUAAGGGCAUGGAUGGAGCCAGCAGCCUGGCUCAGUCUCUCACUAGCUGGGUGGCCCUGGGCAAAGCAGUUCACUUCUCUAAGCCUCAGUGUCGUCCUCUGUAAAAUGGGAAAAACAGCAGCAGCUACCUGCGGUUGGGAGUCCUUGGGUGGUGCAAACGGUUAAUGUGCUCAGCUGCUAACGAAAAGGUUGGAGGUUCAGAUCCACUGAGGGGCUCCUUGGAAGAAAGGCCUGGCGAUCCACUUCUAUAACAUCAGCCACUGAAAACCCCGUGGGGCAUAGUUCUACUGUGACACAUACAGGGGCAGAGUGAGUUGGAAUCAACUCAGUGGUGACUGGUUUACCCGUGGGUUGUUGUGAGGUUUAAAUGUUUAAUGUCUGCAAAAUGCUUAGAACGGUGCCUGGAAUGGUUUCUUGUUAUUAUGCUGAUUCAGGGCCCAGAAAGUCAGGAAUGAAAAGACCCUUUCUUUACCCUCGCUUCUGCCUCAGUUGCCCCUAUAUGUGUCCAGCUGCCUUGGGACAAAGGGAUUCAUUGUAUUGUACUUUGGUGAAUCCUCCAGUGAGGUCAGUAUCAUUAUCCCCAUUUUACAGGUAAGCAGCUGAGGCUCCUGGGCCCAAGGUCCCUAACAGGUUAAGUGGUCAGAAAGCAGAUCUGACAGGCUCCUGAGCCCACACUUGCUCACCUGCUGUACCAAUGACACUGCCUAGGAACUCCAGAAAUGCUGGUCCCCGUCCCACCCUCAACCUCGAGGGGCCAGCAGCCUCAGAACAGAUUUAUCUGUGCAGAACUGUGAUGGUCUGGUAGCAUAUGGGGAAGCUUGAACAGGAUGUGGGCAGGGAGCCCAGGGGGCAGGGCUGAGGUACUGUUCUGAGGUCAGAUACGGGGCUGCAGGACUGGGCCAAGUGUCCCAUUUGAGACACUUUGACAGACAGCUUGUUUGUGGCCAUGGUGGUAUUGCCCUCCAAGUGGAGGCUUUCUCUCAGAGCCGCUGGGGGCGUGGUAUGAUUUCUGGGGCUUGCGCCCCCUUCCCAAGCCCAAAGGCCCUCCCAGGAAGCCGUGGUUGGGGCUGAGGCACGAGGAGGCCUUCACCACAAUCCUGACAGCCCUGGGGGUGCAUCUACACUUAGACUCAGAGGACAGUGGCCCAAACAAAGGAGCAGCUGGGGAGGAAGGGGCCUCUCAGAGCUGCUGGCGCCACAGUCUGGCCCCAGCCCUGCAUCAGCCCCUAAUGUGUGGCCUCAGGCACUUUAAGUCUCUGAGCCUCAGUUUCCCGUUUUCACAUGACAGUUGUAAGGAUCGGGGGAGAGGCUGCACAGAGCAAGUAUGCCAGGCUGGGCUGACUUUCCUCAUUAUCUGCCUGCCAUGCCUGGUCUGCAGAGAUGGGGUGGGGCAGCAGGAGACCAGGAGGGGCCAGCUCCGCAGGCAAGCAGCGGCCUCUCCACAUCUCUUGGCUGCUCUGAACAGAUGACCAGCUUGUCGAGGUUGCAAAAAAUCAAAAUUAACUGCUGCCUCAGGCUGUCUGAGUAGAAGUGGAAGUGUGGUUUCCAGCUCUGGGAAGUCCCACUGCUCUUGGGGUGGCGCGGGCCACUCUUCAAAAGACAGAGCAUACACCUCCCCCCCCACCCCAGGCACCCUGUGCCAGCCUGAGAAUGCCAGAGGCCCCGGACUAUGUGCCACACCGUGCCUGUCUGAACGGACACACUGCACUUGGGACUGGCACCUCUAGGCGGUGGAGGCCCAGGGCCCCUUCUCGGGAUGAGCUCCUGUGGCACCUGGUGGCCACUCCCUCCUGGCACUCAGCACUCAUGCUGAGCUCUUGGCUCGCGUCCCGCAGGCUUUGAGCUGAGGACAGGGCUUUGCCUGGCACAGGGGCUGCUCCUGCACUUGCAGCACAGACAGACAUCUGGGUGGAUGGACUAGGAACAAGGGAAGGUGGAUGGUCUGCAAGAUCAAAGGAGCCCUUUGCCCCUGUAACGUUCUCCAUCCCCCCAAAACCGACAGGCUGGGGAGACCCUUGUGCUCAUGGACUCCUCAGAAGGCCUCAGAGGGGCCUUAAAGAUCACGGGGUCCCACCUACACAAUGAACCUAAAGACCAGAGAGGGAAGCACUCUGUUCAAAGUCACACAGCGAGCCAGUGACUGAGCCACAACUAGACCCCAGACUCCCAAGUCGGUGUCGCGCAGGGCUCCCACUACCCUGCAGCCCUUCCAUGACUGGCCAGGUGUCUUAGGCCCCAGAUGGGCAUCCUGGGAGCCCAGGUGGACGUUACAGGGAAUACGGUUUUAUUACAAAGAAAAACUUCCAGUUAGAGACGCACAGGGAAUGUGUUGCCUUCCACACACAUCAUAGGCAGGAGUUCCGCCUGGGGAGCAGGGCAGACAUGAGGCCCCGUGGCUUGGAGGGGAGGGCUGUUUCCAAGGCUCAAGCCACACUAGGUAUCUGUCAGCAGGUGCCAGCGGGUGGGAGCAGCACCGCUCGGAGGCCUUGCUCCCCGUCUAGUGUCCGAGCAGGACGGCGACUAGCCGCUCACCCUGCAUUGCCAGUGUGGGCCUGCCCAGAGAAGGUGCCUUUGUGUGGAUGAAUGGAGGCAAGCACAACCUGAGUCUGGGGCGCUGGGCCCUAGGCCAUCACGUCCAGCAUGUCCCAGCAGUAUCUACAGAGAGGGACUCGGAGGCCAAGUUCAGACUGGGAAACACUAGAUGAGACAAAGUGAAAUCUGUUUCUUAAAUGCAGAACUUGCCAGGGCCCUUAAUGCGCUCCUCUACAAGGGAGGAGAAACCAUGCGCAGCCCUCCCCAAACUCGACGGGAACGCCUGCCCAAAGCACAGCGGGCAGGUGGCAGGCCACAGAACAUGGCCAGUCCCCCCGGGCUACCUCCCUGCUUGCUCCCCAAUUGGUUGGCUCUCUCAGCUGCCCCGGGGCCUGGACCCCAGCUGCCCUAUUAGGGCAGACCCCGAUAGGCAGGGCUGGGGGUGCUGCAGCUGACAUUGGCAAGAGGCCCCACUCAGGUCCCGGCGCCUCCUGAAACAAGCUGCAAUCCGCUCUCUGCUUUCUGGGAGCAGCCUCUGGGAAAUGGAGAAGCUGAGGUGUAGGCCCUGGGCGUGGAUGCAGCUUCAAAGUUAUAUUUUGAGGGCUGAGCUCAGCAGGAGGAAGUUGCCAGUGGCAGGGGCCUUCCCUAGGCGACUGCAGCAGAUGGGGCUCCUGGCAGGCUGCUCACUUCCAGCUGGGAGCGCUGGGGCCCACCACAGCCUGUCUGUCUGGUGACUCAGCACCAGCCACAGGCCCCCAGCAGGGCCUCUUCCGGUGUGGGGUGAGGGACCGGGGCCCGAUCCCCAAAGAUGGAGGCUGAGAGGUGUGCAGGGUUGCCUGGGGACCCCUGACCCUUCCUGUCUCCUUGUCUCAGAAGGGCUACAAGAGUAACUGUCCAGGAAAAGGAUGUUUUAUUUUCAUAAAUACUCCUGCUCUCACGCACACAUGACCCCACUCUGACCACGGACAGAUGGACAGAGACAGGAGAUGCCUGUGGGAGGCCCCAGCAGAGGCCAGCGGACGAAGGAGACAUGGUGGACUCCAGUGCACAGCCCCUGGCCUGCCGUCACAUACUCCACAGCCCCUGAGGAGGCUGACAGCAGGGACUGAGUGGGUGAAGGGAGCCCCCAGGAGGAGUGGGGGACACGUGGGGCCCUCCAACUCAGUCUUCACCACCCCUGAGACCGUGACCACAGGGCCUACUCAGAAACAAAAGAGCAUCAAACCAAACACCAGGGAAGUGCAAACAGCUAGGGGCGCAAGUGCCACCCCACAUUCACCGGGUUCCUGCAGGGGAGGCCUGAGCUGGUCCCUGGAUCCAGCAUGUCCCCCCAGCUAUGGCUGGGCCUUCCCAUAAGGCAUAAGAGACAGGUGGGGAAGGCCCCACCCAGGCUGGGCUCCUGGCCGUCCCUGACAGCCUCGCUUCUUUCCCAGGACCCCAAGUCCUUCCAGGGCCGUGCAGCCCCUCCCUGCUCCAGGCUCCCACUGUGUGGAGGCCCAGCAGUGCAAACCCAGGCCCAGCCUCCUGCUGGGUUUGGCUCACAGCAGGGGAAGGGCAGGGGGGAGGGAGAAGAGUCACUUGGGGGCCACUGGGGUGAGGGGAGAAGCACCAGGCCGUGGGGUAUAUGGCCAUGGGGACAAAGGGUGUCCCAGGCUACCACAGCCUCCACCAGGCUUCGAUGGCCAGGCCCUCUGCCCCCUCCUCUCCCCAGCCUCUGUCCUAGAGGCUUCCCCAGGACUCAGGUGGGGGAAACUGGUCCACGUCCCCCAUCUCAUUGUAGGUCUGGUCACCCAUGGUGAAGAUGAGCUUGUAGCGGAGGCGGACCUUCUCCUGGAGCAGAGGGGAGGAGGAGUCAGAGCAGGCCAGGAGGCCAGCCCACCCACAGAGCCCGGCCUGUCACAGCUGGGCCUCACCUUCUGAGGAUUGGCGAGGAGCAGAACCUGGGUGAUAGCUGUGGGGUGGACGAUGGGGUUAAAUGCUGGCAGCUCCGUGCCUGAGGGUGGCUGCAGCUUGACUUUCAUGACCUGUGGGCAGUGGCAGGACAGGCACAACUAGCCCUGGCUUCCCUCCUCAGACCCACGGGGGCCAGGCUGGGGCCUGGGGGUCUGUCUGGGGCUCCCCUUGACCCCGCACUGCCCCCUGCUCCUGCCCCAGGCCAGGUGGCACCCCACCAAGCCCCAAGUCACCCUGCCUUGAGAGGGAAGCAUGCCUGUCCUGCCCCUGCCCGUGUCACCUUGGGGACAGCUGACUGAAAAACGAUGUUGCGGAUGGGCAGGGGGGCGGUGCUCAGCAUGGACACCACCACCACCAGGACAUCGGGGCGCCCCGGCAGCGGGUCUCGGGCGAAGUGGAAGAGGACGCGGAAGCCAUGCUGGUCAUACACAGUCACAGGGACCUGGGAUGACACCAUGCCUGCGGGACCCAGGACCCUUCUCUCUUCAUGGCCAGCAGGGGACUGAGCUUGGCCUGUGGCUCGACUCCAGAGACUGUCACACUCCAGGGACCCCAAAGUCAACCUCAACAGUAUGGGAACUGGAAACCCUCAUCUCUGCCCCAGAGGCUGGGCUGCGGCUCCAAGGCAGGCCCAGAGGUAGUGAGGGGCUGGGCUGGGGAGAUGCAGCUGGAGGUGAGGGGAGGACAGCCUGCCUUCCUCCACCAGCCCCAGGCGCCAGCAGCCUGCCUUUGCCCCAUGGCCCUCCUGCACAGAGCCUGUCAUUGUUCCCUUCAGGCUGCUUGUCCCAGGACAGGGACAGGUCAGGCUGCUUCCCAGCACCCUCCUACCUGGAAGCUGUUCCAUCCGGCACCAUCCAAGCCUGGGCCUGAAGCGGGUGUGGGGUCGCCUAGGCCUGAGGGGAAAGCAGACAGAGAUGAGGAGGCUGGACUCGCUGCGGGGGGUGUGCACUGGCUGGGGCUUCACACAUCUCUCCUCCUCUCCCCCCUUCCAAGAGCUCAGUUCAGAGGGGAAAAGCCCACACUUCCACAGGGAACCUGCAGCAGAGCAGGAACAGAAACCGAAGACCCCGCCAGCCCAGUCAGGGGCCCCCAUGCUUCCCCUUCUCCUCUCACAGGCCAUUUGGCACUGGCUCAAUACAGAAGCGGGGACUCUCGUCCUGCUUGUGUUCACCAGCUGGCAACUGAGAGCCGGCGCGGGGUGCUGGGGAUCCAGGAGGGCAGGGGUCAGCACUCUGCACCCGCCCUCUGAGUCAGGUGCGCACUGCCAUGUGGGGAACAGGGCCCUGGGCCCAGGCCUGCCCUGGAGUCUAAGUGACCGCAGGCAAGGCAGCGCACCGGCUGAGCCUCGGUGGUCCCAUCUGUACCAGGACAGGGCUGGACUGGGCCAUCAGCCCUGACAUGUGCCAAGGAGGGCCAGCCUGAGAGAGUGGCGCAACGGAGAGCGUGAGGUGGGUCUUUGGACAUGGCUCUAAAUAAAAGGUUUGUUAAGCAGCCUACUGUUAGAAGGCAGUAUGGGACCAGUCAGCCCCCUCCGCCCUGAAACACCUCCAGCCGAGCUCACCUCAGCUUUGUCCUAAGCAAAACCAGUUCUCCUGUUUCUAGCAAAUCGGGAGUAAGUGAGGUUCAAGCUGAGAUGCCACCUGAGAGGCAGGGGCUACAGGGAGCAGGGGCUGUUGUGUCUCCUCCUCUAGGCUCAUCUCUUUAAGAUCAGGGACAAGAAGAUCUAACUGACACCAUGUAUUACACCCUCCUGCUGUGUCAGGGUCUUUAGACUCGGGUCUCACUUAACCCCCAAACCACCUUCAAAGGUAGGGGUCGGGGAGUAUCUAGAGUGGGCAAGUGUCUAGAGACCGAAGUUUAUCAGUGGUCCUGGGGGCAGGUGCGAGGAAGAGGGAGAGGAGGAACCCAAGGCUUAGGGGACACUGAGCUUCUGUUAAAGGUGACGGGGAAGUCUGGGAACGGAUAAUGGUGAUGGCUGAACAACAUGGUGAAUGGAAUGAAUGUGAAAACUGUUAAAAUGGAAAAUGUUUUGUUACAAAUGUGUUUACCACAAAAAAGUCAAAUAAGAUGAAAUAAAUCUAUUGUCACGAAAGGUAUGAACGUCAAUUUCCCUAAUAAAGACAAAAAGCAUCAGAAUUAAAAAAAAAAAAAAGGUGUGGGGUGCGCUUGUCCCUUUUCGGAACGAGGAAAUGGAUGCUCAGAGAGGUUAAGUCACCUGAGCAAGGUCACACAGCUGGAAAGUGGCAGAGUCCGGACUUGACUAGAGCAUGGCAGAAUUGCUAGAGCUUGAACACAGCUCCGCCACUUAGCUGUGUGACCUUGGACUGGUGACGUAACCUCUCUGUGCCUCCGUCCCCUCAUAUAACACAGAGACAAUGGCAGUACCUAUAGCAGAGGCUUGUUGUAAUUAACAAAUUGGAUAAAGUGCCUCAACAGUGUCUGCAACACUCUCUGACAGACAGGAAACACAGGCCGAGGAGGGAAGAAUGCGCCUGGGUCACACAGCCGGGAAGUGGUGGAGCUGGGAUCCAAUCCCAGGCCAGCAUGGUGUGGGUGCUCCCACACCUUCCACUAGUUCCUUCACCCCACAGGCCAAGGCUGGGAAAGCGUGACCAAUCCCGUGCAGCUGGUGAAGACCAUGAGGUCUGGUUUCCUCCUACCCUUCCUGCCCCAGAGAACGGUUUAGGAGGAGCCUUUUGUGGUCCUGAGGCUUCCUCUACCCCCACCGCUGGGCUGGGUGCUACCCUGGCACUUCUGGUUCUUGUUCCUAUACUCUCUUGGCCUUCGAAAAGCAGGAAGCUGGAGGCUCAGGGCUCUGCUGAAGCAACCUGGGGGCAGGAAGUGCAAAGCACACCUCGCUUCUCAUGUGGAGAAGGCUUUGUCCCAACCACCCUGGGUCAGCCAAGCCGUUACCUCCCUAUCAACCAGCUGCCCAGUCAGGGAGCUGCCCCUAGGCCUGGCUCUGCUGGGGACGAUGAGCCUUCUCGCCACUGGACCAUCCUUUAUCCGGGGUAAGGGUGUAUGCCCCAAGUCACCCCCUGGCACUGAAUGAAGAGGAGGCAGGCGGGCAGGACUUGUGGGUGGGGCCCUGGACACCCUGUGGUCAGACCCUCCAUCGUAGGGCAUCCGCUUUCCCCUCACCGCUCCCCACCGAGCCCUCCUCGGCCUUUUCUUGCUUAGAAACAAUGGAACAAUGAGUCAGAACAACAGAACAGCUCAGAGUGUGGCUUUGGAGUUAGAGGCCUACUUCCAACCUUUAUGCUCUCUCCCCUUUAAUUAGUUUAGCCUCUCUAAGCCUUGAUUUCCCCAUCUAUACAAGGGCGAUAUUAACAGCACUGACCUCGAGUGGUUGGGAGGAUUAAGAACCACACAACAGAGCGCAGUAACUGGCACUGUGUCUAGCUCAGGCCCAGGGGAAGAACCCUAAACCAAACUGGUUGCCAUCGUAUCGAUUCUGACUCAGGUAACCCUGUGUGUUGGAGUAGAACUGCUCCACAGGGUUUUCAAGACUGUGACCUUUCAGAAGCAAAUAGUCAGGUCUUUCUCCCGAGGCACCUCUGGGUGGGUCUGAAUAGCCAACCUUCUGGUUAGUAGUUGAGCACUUAACUGUUUGUGCCACCCAGGGACUCCCAAGCCCAGGAAGCAUGCCUUCAACCCUGGGUGGACUCUGCCUGGGAUCCUAGCGUACCCGUGGCUUCUUCAGCUCUUUGGAUUUGUUUGUUCCUUCAGAAGUGGUUCAGAGGAAUGCAGCCUGACUCUUGGUUUCCACGUUACAGUUUUCAAGCAUAUUCUUCAAGAUCCCUUGGAUGGCCCUAACACCUCUGCUUUCUUCCUAAUUUCAGUGGAUGUUAUGAGGAGGAUGGGGGGAGGUGCUUCUGCCCUCGAGGAAGCUGAAGUCUAAGCUCUGCCUGGCCACCUGGGACCCCUGUGCGUCUUCCCCAGGAUAAGCCUGGCCUCCUGUUGGACUCUGAAGCCCCAAGCCCUGCCCUGGAGUCACAGCAGGCCGGGGGUUUGGCUCUGGCCCCAGGGAGCUGGGGGCAAGCAUUGCCCCCCUCCCCUGGACCUCUGGAUGCUUCUGGGCACAGAGCUCUCCUGCUCUUCCUCUUGGUGGGUGCGGAAACUGCUGAACUUUUGCCUGGGCAGCCCCAACUCUGGGCUCUAGCCUGCUGCAGGGAAACCCCUCUGUUCUCACUUAGGCUGCCAGAGCUGGGUAUGGCUGCCUCAUCACAGCCAGGUUCCCGUGCACUGACAGGGCAUAAGGCUGGUGGCAGGGCUCUACAAGCUGCAAGGGGUGCCGCGGGGAGCAUACCCCACCUGGCCCCAGGCCUGCCCCUUCCUCACCCAGAGACAUG